CCUACGGGUGGCAGCAGUGGGGAAUAUUGCACAAUGGGGGAAACCCUGAUGCAGCGACGCCGCGUGAGUGAAGAAGUAAUUCGUUACGUAAAGCUCUAUCAGCAGGGAAGAAAUACUGACCUUACGGUCAGCAGACGGUACCUGAGUAAGCAGCCCCGGCUAACUACGUGCCAGCAGCCGCGGUAAUACGUCGGGGGCAAGCGUUAUCCGGAUUUACUGGGUGUAAAGUGAGCGUAGACGGUGCGCCAAGUCUGGAGUGAAAUGCCGCAGCUUAACUGCGGAACUGCUUUGGAAACUGGCGAACUAGAGUGCGGGAGGGGGAAGCGGAAUUCCUAGUGUAGCGGUGAAAUGCGUAGAUAUUAGGAGGAAUACCGGUGGCGAAGGCGGCUUACUGGACCGUAACUGACGUUGAGGCUCGAAAGCGUGGGGAGCAAACAGGAUUAGAUACCCCAGUAGUC
rnacentral:rRNA from 1 species